AAACUGAUCAAAACUGCAUUCAAGAUGUUUCUACUACGUGCUUUUCGACUUAAGAAAAAGAUAGCACCUGUGGAGGAUUUUGUGGCAGAUGAGAGCAAACAACGCCUCAGCUCUCAUAAGAGUAUUGCUGCCCCCUCUGCUCCAGUGUCAGCAACAACAGCUGAAGCUGGAAAAACUAAAAAGACCAAGAAUGGCUUCUUCAGUUUCAGCCAGAAGGAGAAAACUGAACCC